rnacentral:rRNA from 1 species
GACGAACGCUGGCGGCGUGCUUAACACAUGCAAGUCGAACGGAAAGGCCCUGCUUUUGUGGGGUGCUCGAGUGGCGAACGGGUGAGUAACACGUGAGUAACCUGCCCUUGACUUUGGGAUAACUUCAGGAAACUGGGGCUAAUACCGGAUAGGAGCUCCUGCUGCAUGGUGGGGGUUGGAAAGUUUCGGCGGUUGGGGAUGUACUCGCGGCUUAUCAGCUUGUUGGUGGGGUAGUGGCUUACCAAGGCUUUGACGGGUAGCCGGCCUGAGAGGGUGACCGGCCACAUUGGGACUGAGAGAAGGCCCAGACUCCUACGGGAGGCAGCAGUGGGGAAUAUUGCACAAUGGGCGGAAGCCUGAUGCAGCAACGCCGCGGGCGGGAUGACGGCCUUCGGGUUGUAAACCGAUUUCGCCUGUGACGAAGCGUGAGUGACGGUAAUGGGUAAAGAAGCACCGGCUAACUACGUG